GUCAUGUUCACAUGUAUUUCUGGGGUGAAGAUGAUCCCAAUUAAUGAAUUCUUUCUAGCAGUCACUUUGUUAUCUCUGUGAUUAUUCACAGUGCGUCUUUGUGCGGAGGCUGCGGCUCCUGGGUUGACUCGUCUGAAAUGUCACCUCUAAUUGGGAAGCCACAUCUCUCACAGAUGGCCAGGCUGUACGCAACUCUUGGCUGCUGGAUCUGUGGCCUUGCAGAGACGGCUGAAGCAGGAACACCUGGCGGCGAUGACUGCAGAUGGGUCCACAGGAACUGGUAGCAGAAACAAGAGAGCAGCCUUACCAGGCAUGAGAAGUGGGGCCUUCCGUGAGAGAGUGAGCAGGAGAGACAGGCAGAGCAUGAGAAGCUGGCGGGUGGCCUGGGCAGAUUUCUCUGGGUCAGAAGUUCAGACAUGGCACAGUGGGAUGGCUUGCUUUUGCUCCAUCAUGGGCCUCAGCUGGAAGAUGUGAAGGUCAUAGACUGGAAUCUCU
rnacentral:lncRNA from 1 species